GUCCAGACUCCUACGGGAGGCAGCAGUGGGGAAUAUUGCACAAUGGGGGAAACCCUGAUGCAGCGACGCCGCGUGAGCGAUGAAGUAUUUCGGUAUGUAAAGCUCUAUCAGCAGGGAAGAAAAUGACGGUACCUGACUAAGAAGCCCCGGCUAACUACGUGCCAGCAGCCGCGGUAAUACGUAGGGGGCAAGCGUUAUCCGGAUUUACUGGGUGUAAAGGGAGCGUAGACGGCAAUGCAAGCCAGAUGUGAAAGCCCGGGGCUCAACCCCGGGACUGCAUUUGGAACUGUGUAGCUGGAGUGUCGGAGAGGCAGGCGGAAUUCCUAGUGUAGCGGUGAAAUGCGUAGAUAUUAGGAGGAACACCAGUGGCGAAGGCGGCCUGCUGGACGAUGACUGACGUUGAGGCUCGAAAGCGUGGGGAGCAAACAGGAUUAGAUACCCGUGUAAU
rnacentral:rRNA from 1 species